CCCUCGCGUUUGUCUGACCAUAAGGUUGGCCGAGAGAUGCCUUUGAUCGUUGUGCAGUGUUUGAGAUUGUGGCUACCAUGCGCGUCGUGAUUUUUGUUUUUAUUAACGGUUUGUGGUUUUAACCGAUUCCUUAGAGUUAUGCAUUCUGAGUGUCGCACUUUGGAAUUUGUAGAAAUUUAUCUGUUCAUAGUGGCUGAAUGAGAAUUUAAUUCUGACUCAAUCUUGGCUAAGAUUCCUACAGGUAAUGGAUCUUGUAAUAGUGGUGACAGUACAGUGGUAUUUGCAAUGAGUGAGCGUUGAAAUAGUGGCUGUAUUCUCUUGAACGAGGCUUACAGCACUGUGCAAUUCCCUUGCCGUUGGCUCUGCCUCCUUACACUGGCAGCUUUUAUCUUUCAUUAGGGAUGAUUAUUUAUUUAUAUCCCUCGAGUGUUGUUACUAGAUUUUUGUCCUUGUAGAAAACUUCCUUUUAAAACUUGCGAAUCGCAAUUCAUCUCCAUCGAUCCUAGCGAUUGGCAACUCACUGAACUUUCUUCUGCACAGAUUCCUAAUGCUAUUGCUGAGGCUCAGAAGGCCUGUGAAGAGGAUCCUACUUCUGCCCCAUGCGCCGUGGCAUGGGACGAGGUGGAGGAGUUAACAGCUGAGGCUGCCCACCAGCGCGACCGAGAGAAAACCUCAGGCGACCCCCUUGAGAAAUACUGCGCAGACAACCCCGAAUCUGAUGAGUGCCGAACAUAUGAGGAUUAGAAUACAGGAAUGUGGUUGCUACUGGUAUUUUACAUGCAACACUGCGCUGCGUUAAUUUGGAAUG
rnacentral:lncRNA from 1 species